rnacentral:rRNA from 2 species
GUUUAGACCGUCGUGAGACAGGUUAGUUUUACCCUACUGACGACCAUAGAAGAAAUGUUAUUGCGAUAGUAAUCCUGCGAAGUACGAGAGGAACCGCAGGUUCGGACAGUUGGUUGGCGCACUUGGUCGAGCGGCCAGUGGUGCGAGGCUACGUCCGGAUGAUUAUACCUGAAGGCCUCUGAAGGUAGAAUCGAUGCUGGAGGAAGGCAAUGAUACGCAGCGUCUUUUGACUCGUUUCGACGUUUUAUCUGGGUGGCUAUAACGAGACCCGUCUCGGUUAGAGAUUAAAACUCGCUCCAUCAGCGAGGGGGUUCCGGCCUUUUCGUUUCGUUUCGGACGAAUGCCUGGUCGGCGCUUCAUUCUCGAGCCGCGGUUUUCAGAGGGGAGGUUCGCUGACGGCUAUGCUGGGUAUCCGCUACGGGAAUGCCAGUCAUGCUCCGGUUCGCCUCUUUCUUUUUACCCGACUAAAG